rnacentral:lncRNA from 1 species
GAAGUUUGUGCGACUCAGAUAAGCCUGGGAAUAGGCCAGACGGGUGGUGAUGAGUACGAAAUCAAGAGGGCUUUGGAUUUUGGCAGUGGUGAAAACAGCAGCAGGAUAUACCUGAAUCUGGGUGCAAUAAUUGCGGAGAGUAGCCAAAACGUCAUCACGGUCUCAUCAAGCGAUUCGGCUUUGGUUCCGCCAACUACUCCGUCUUCCAUUUUUUCAUUCUCAAUGGACGACCUUACUUCGGAUGUAGACGAAGAUGAUAUCAUGGGAAGAUAACUAAUUUUUUAUUUAGCUAAUUAGUAUUUUAACUGCAUUAUAGCCUAUAUGCUAAUGCCCUCUGAUUUUGCAGAAGAUAGCUUGAUUGCUCAUUACUACUCAGAGUCAAAUGGGGCAAUGUGUGAACUCUGGAGCAAGCUACAGAACCAGCUGGAUUAGGGGAUAAAGGGAAGAGUAUCAUGAUAGAACCAGAAGUAGUGGAGGUUACACCGGUAACACGAACGCUAUCGGCUAGAACACCUAUUAUCGCUGAAGCUCGAGAGAGGGUCCCUAAUGCACCAGUUCCGACGGUCCUGUACGACAUGGAUGCGCCACCAUAUUUUGACGACCCAGGCG